GAUGAACGCUAGCGGGAGGCUUAACACAUGCAAGUCGAGGGGCAGCAUAGGGUAGCAAUACUCUGAUGGCGACCGGCAAACGGGUGAGUAACGCGUAUGCAACCUACCCUGUACAGGGGGAUAACCCGGAGAAAUUCGGACUAAUAUCCCGUAAUAAUAUCCGGAGGCAUCUUUGGAUAUUUAAAGUUCCGACGGUACGGGAUGGGCAUGCGUAACAUUAGCUGGUUGGUAAGGUAACGGCUUACCAAGGCUAUGAUGUUUAGGGGUCCUGAGAGGGUGGUCCCCCACACUGGUACUGAGACACGGACCAGACUCCUACGGGAGGCAGCAGUGAGGAAUAUUGGUCAAUGGGCGCAAGCCUGAACCAGCCAUCCCGCGUGCAGGAAGACGGCCCUAUGGGUUGUAAACUGCUUUUCCAGGGAGAGAAACUUACGCACGUGUUGCGUGACUGACGGUACCCUGGGAAUAAGCAUCGGCUAACUCCGUGCCAGCAGCCGCGGUAAUCUGUAGUCGUC
rnacentral:rRNA from 1 species